rnacentral:lncRNA from 1 species
AUGUAUCUAUGCGUAGAUUUUUAAUCAAUUAUUUUUUCAAAUAAUUUUUAGUAAUAAUUUUGCCUCAAGUUUAUUUUCAGUAGGUAUGGACCUCUACUGAAAGUCCUGGUUAUGUCCAACCAUUAACAUGAAUAUACUCAGUGAAUCUAACCAAUGAAUGAUCAAGCUGGAAGAAAGCUCGACCAAUCCAACUAUUCAUUAGAUAGUUCAAUAGAGUCAUCAUAUAAUAAAUGAUAAUUUUAAUAUCCAAAUAAACACCAGAUGGAAGGUGCCUCCAAUAUUUAUCGAGACUAUUAGAUUCAUUACCAUCUACCUUAAUGGGAGGCUAUGAAUUUAUUAUCCUCAUAACUCAUUCAUUUUAAGGACCUAAUAAUUUAGAGAAUUUAGUUAUGUAUUUCAAAAAAGAGAAGAGACUAACCAGCAAUCAACAAUCCUUCCACUGACUUCACCAAGUCUUUGAAGAGGACUAGAGACUAAGCUGGUUAAGAGGCACCUAAAUUAGUCAUACUGAUUAACCAAAGAUCCUCCCAUUGACUUCACCA